rnacentral:tRNA from 1 species
GGGGACGUGGCGGAAUUGGUAGACGCACUGGAUUUAGGUUCCAGCACCGAGAGGUGUGAGAGUUCGAGUCUCUCCGUCCCCA